rnacentral:rRNA from 1 species
CCUACGGGUGGCAGCAGUCGAGAAUCAUUCACAAUGGGGGAAACCCUGAUGGUGCGACGCCGCGUGGGGGAAUGAAGGUCUUCGGAUUGUAAACCCCUGUCAUGUGGGAGCAAAUUAAAAAGAUAGUACCACAAGAGGAAGAGACGGCUAACUCUGUGCAAGCAGCCGCGGUAAUACAGAGGUCUCAAGCGUGGUUCGGAAUCACUGGGCGUAAGGCGUGCGUAGGCUGUUUCGUAAGUCGUGUGUGAAAGGCGCGGGCUCAACCCGCGGACGGCACAUGAUACUGCGAGACUAGAGUAAUGGAGGGGGAACCGGAAUUCUCGGUGUAGCAGUGAAAUGCGUAGAUAUCGAGAGGAACACUCGUGGCGAAGGCGGGUUCCUGGACAUUAACUGACGCUGAGGCACGAAGGCCAGGGGAGCGAAAGGGAUUAGAUACCCGAGUAGUC